CCACCCUCUCUACUUCUUUUUGCUGAAGCAUAGGGGAGCCAGUAAAGAUUAAAUGUGCUUUCUACAAGGCAGUCACUUCAUGCUGCUAAUGUCUAUGGGGCCCUUUUUUGUAUGCAGAAGAAGGAAGAAAGCCGGGAAGAAAGAGUGGGUGAGGGAAAUAAAAGAAAGUGAAAGGAUCUGGGGAGAAAUACCAGGUGGGAAGAAAACAUCUCUAGUGGAUGAAGAAGAGGCAUUCGGUAUAUGUUUUCUCGGCACAAGCUGCUGGGACUUCAGCAUGGAAAGCUAAGCUGUCUCGCAAAUCCGCUGGACUAGGCUGGUUAAUCACAUUGGACACCUUAUUACUGUUAUAUGAGAUGGGCAACACAAGACAAAAUCGACUAUGGUUUGGCCAAUGUAGAUGAAGAAACAGCAAUAUCAGACGAAAGAGAGAGAUCAGAGGAAGAUAUAACGGCAUGAAAUAAAACUGCUAUACCCAGUGCACUUAUGUUUUGACUGCCUGCCUCAGAUAUGAUGAGGGAUUGACACAAAUCAUGUCCUGUACUGAAUAAAAUAACAGUAUUAAUAACCGUCUACUUUUAUGUUGAAACCAGCAUGGCAUCCAAUGAUGAUAACAUCAUUUCUUAAACAGUCUACUGCUGUCUGUUAUAAUAUCAGCAAUAAUAGCAGGGGAUCUUUGCAUAAAACUACUUGCUACAAUAUCAUCAUAAUUAAUUAUUAUAUAGGAUAAAAACUUUACCUGUUGUUGUUUUUCAUUUUUGUCACUCUAGCUGAGGGUGGUAUAGCAAUGCUGGAAGUCUGCAGGAAGACUAACACUAUUUAUCAACAGAGCCUGUCCUAGCAUCUAUAUAAG